AGCGAACGCUGGCGGCAGGCUUAACACAUGCAAGUCGAGCGGGCGUAGCAAUACGUCAGCGGCAGACGGGUGAGUAACACGUGGGAACGUACCUUUUGGUUCGGAACAACACAGGGAAACUUGUGCUAAUACCGGAUAAGCCCUUACGGGGAAAGAUUUAUCGCCAAAAGAUCGGCCCGCGUCUGAUUAGCUUGUUGGUGAGGUAACGGCUCACCAAGGCGACGAUCAGUAGCUGGUCNGAGAGGAUGAUCAGCCACACUGGGACUGAGACACGGCCCAGACUCCUACGGGAGGCAGCAGUGGGGAAUAUUGGACAAUGGGCGAAAGCCUGAUCCAGCCAUGCCGCGUGAGUGAUGAAGGCCCUAGGGUUGUAAAGCUCUUUUGUGCGGGAAGAUAAUGACGGUACCGCAAGAAUAAGCCCCGGCUAACUUCGUGCCAGCCGCCGCCGUAAU
rnacentral:rRNA from 1 species